GAUGAACGCUGGCGGCGUGCCUAAUACAUGCGAGUCGAGCGAACAGACGAGGAGCUUGCUCCUCUGACGUUAGCGGCGGACGGGUGAGUAACACGUGGAUAACCUACCUAUAAGACUGGGAUAACUUCGGGAAACCGGAGCUAAUACCGGAUAAUAUAUUGAACCGCAUGGUUCAAUAGUGAAAGACGGUUUUGCUGUCACUUAUAGAUGGAUCCGCGCCGCAUUAGCUAGUUGGUAAGGUAACGGCUUACCAAGGCAACGAUGCGUAGCCGACCUGAGAGGGUGAUCGGCCACACUGGAACUGAGACACGGUCCAGACUCCUACGUGAGGCAGCAGUAGGGAAUCUUCCGCAAUGGGCGAAAGCCUGACGGAGCAACGCCGCGUGAGUGAUGAAGGUCUUCGGAUCGUAAAACUCUGUUAUUAGGGAAGAACAAAUGUGUAAGUAACUAUGCACGUCUUGACGGUACCUAAUCAGAAAGCCACGGCUAACUACGUG
rnacentral:rRNA from 1 species